UUUGACCUCGGAUCAGGUAGGGAUACCCGCUGAACUUAAGCAUAGUGAACCUGCGGAAGGAUCAUUAAAGAAAUGCGGCGGAGGGGCCCCAAAGGCCCCCGAGCCAACACGUUCUACCCUGUCUUUUCGAUACCUCUACCUCCUCCCCGGCCUCCGGGCCGGGAUGGCUACUUCAAAAAAACCUUGCAGUUUACAGUCAAUUCAGUACUUUGUAACAAAAUUACAACUUUCAACAAUGGAUCUCUUGGCUCUGGCAUCGAUGAAGAACGCAGCGAAAUGCGAUAAGUAGUGUGAAUUGCAGAAUUCAGCGAAUCAUCGAAUCUUUGAACGCACAUUGCGCCCUUCGGUUAUUCCUUAGGGCAUGCCUGUUCGAGCGUCAUUUCAACCUUCAAGCCUGGCUUGGUGUUGGGCGCUGUCCCGCCUCCGCGCGCGGACUCGCCCCAAAUGAAUUGGCAGUCGCACCCUCCGAGCCGCGAGCGCAGCACAAGUCGCGCGGGCGGAACUCUGGGGGGACGGACGCUCCACAAGACCCUUUCUCAGUCUUGACCUCGGAUCAGGUAGGGAUACCCGCUGAACUUAAGCAUAUCAAUAAGCGGA
rnacentral:rRNA from 1 species